UUAGUCCUACGGGAGGCAGCAGUGAGGAAUAUUGGUCAAUGGGCGAGAGCCUGAACCAGCCAAGUCGUGUGAGGGAAGACGGUCCUAUGGAUUGUAAACCUCUUUUGCCGGGGAGCAAAAAGCGGUACGUGUACCGCAUCGAGAGUACCCGGAGAAAAAGCAUCGGCUAACUCCGUGCCAGCAGCCGCGGUAAUACGGAGGAUGCGAGCGUUAUCCGGAUUUAUUGGGUUUAAAUGGUGCGCAGGCGGCGAGUUAAGUCAGC
rnacentral:rRNA from 1 species